GAAGAACUGAAGGUUUUGACACUUCAGUUCAAAACUCCAAAAUCCCUAUUUUGAAACUAAGAAAAUGCUGUAACAAAGUUGUUCCUGCACAUACUUACAUGUUGUUCUACAGAUGUUAUGGGGCAAGAAAGAGUAAAGAAUCUAUAAUUGUAUCCUGAAAUAUGGGCUGCUCUGGGGACCUUGUCAGUCUGGAAGCUUGCUGUCUUGCUUGUCCAGGCACUGCUGCACAUGUGGGCUCUGCUGGGAGGAACCUGCUUUAUCAGGAGAUUGGGCUCAAUGAUCUCCAGACGUCCCUUCUGACUACUGUGAUUUCUGGAGAAGCUGGCAGUCCGUGGCUUGGAUAGGUACGCUCUUUGCUGGGUGAAGAACUGGCUGGAUGUCUAGGCUCAGAAAGUGGUG
rnacentral:lncRNA from 1 species